rnacentral:tRNA from 1 species
GCUCCGGUAGUUCAACGGAUAGAAUAGAAGUUUCCUAAACUUUAGAUAGGAGUUCGAUUCUCCUCCGGAGUA